rnacentral:rRNA from 1 species
CAUGGCGUUAAGGGUUUCCGUGGUUGACCUGCGGAGGAUCACAUUA